AUCUAGGGAUGGGAAUCGAACCCAUAGUGUUCCGUUUACCGGGCAGAUGCCAUGUCCACUAGGCUACCCUGGA
rnacentral:tRNA from 1 species